ACGGGAGGCAGCAGUGGGGAAUAUUGGGCAAUGGGCGCAAGCCUGACCCAGCGACGCCGCGUGAGGGAAGACGGCCCUAGGGUUGUAAACCUCUGUUGCAGGGGAAGAAACAAAUGACGGUACCCUGCGAGGAAGCUCCGGCUAACUACGUGCCAGCAGCCGCGGUAAUACGUAGGGAGCGAGCGUUGUCCGGAAUUACUGGGCGUAAAGGGCGCGUAGGCGGUCAUGCAAGUCAUCUGUCAAAUCGUGGGGCUUAACCCCAUCCCGCAGAUGAAACUGCAUGACUGGAGGCACAGAGAGGCAGACGGAAUUCCUAGUGUAGCGGUGAAAUGCGUAGAUAUUAGGAAGAACACCGGUGGCGAAGGCGGUCUGCUGGCUGUGAACUGACGCUGAAGCGCGAAAGCCAGGGGAGCAAACAGGAUUAGAUACCCUGGUA
rnacentral:rRNA from 1 species